GCCAGGAUGAACUUCGGUGGUCCGGGGUGCGGGCUUCAAACCCGUAGGCGCUUAGCGGCGCAGUGGUUCGAUUCCACCUUCCUGGUG
rnacentral:tRNA from 1 species